rnacentral:lncRNA from 1 species
GUUUUCUCAUGUGUAAAACAAGAGUAAUGAUAACUACCUCACCAAAUUUUUGUGAGGAUAGAGAAUUAUGUACUCUGCAUGUCAUUAUUGCUUAGUGUGUUGGCCAUUAUUAUUAUGAGGCAUGUUGAAGUACAAAUUGGUGUGCAGAGGCCCUUCCAAUUCUCAUACCUCACUCAUGGUUGUAAGUCUGAUAAUCUUCUCCCUUCCCACUAAGGACUUGGAAAGAAGCUAUAAAAGUAAUCUUUUGAAAUUUCCACAAACUGAUGAAUGGAUAAUCAUUCCUUGCUUCUUCUAGCUUCUGAUGACUGCCAGCAUUCCUUGACUUGUGACGCAUCACUUCAAUCUUCAAGGAAGCCGCAGAGAGAAGAAGCUGCCCAAGAAUGGAAAGGAAGAAAUAUAUCACAUCAUCUGUCUGUCCACAGGCUUUCCUUGGGGCUUAUGAAGGUAUUUUAGAAUUUUUAUAUUGGCAUUUUUCAGGGGAGAUAAAGGUGAACCCUCAAGGGCAGUCAGGCAUCAGUCUUGAAAGUUUGGGCUUCCUUGUUGGUACACUAACCUGACUUUAAUGGCUUUCUUAUUUCGUCAAUAACCAAGGUUACUACCAACGACUUUGUUUUUAGAAUUAAAGCUGUC